rnacentral:ncRNA from 1 species
ACAGACUUGGUCCUAGUCCUAUUAUUGGCUAAUUCUAAGAUGAUACAUGCAAGCAAUUUUGCAUAACAGUGAGUAAAUACCUAACCUAAAAUCUCUAAGAAAUAAAUAUAAAAAAACAUCAGAACUAAUUAUUUAAUCAAAAACGUUAAGAAAUUAUUAUUUUACUACCACCCCGCAGUACCAAAAAUUGUACAAUAAGUAAUAGCUUGAUACAACUAUAGAAAAAAUAAACCGGUAAAUUAUGUGCCAGCCACCGCGGUUAUACAUAAGAUUUUAACUAAUAAUUACGGUAAAAAGGUAAAACAUAUUGGAACAAACUAACUCUAGCAGUAAUAAGCUUAUAGAAUACUAAUAACACUAUUUACCCAAUUAUAUUAUUUACACACUUUAUACUAAAGCUCAAAAAUAAACUGGGAUUAGAUACCCCAUUAUAUGAGAUAUAAAAACCGAACCACCUGAGAACUACGAACUAAAGUUUAAAACUCAAAGGACUUGGCGGUUUUUUACACCUUACUGGAGGAGCUUGCUAUAUAACCGAUAAUCCACGAAAUACCUAACCAAUCUUUGAAAAAACAACCUGUAUACCAUCAUCGUCAGCUUACCCCUCAAGGAAAGUACGCAUAAAGAAAACCUCUUCACCACGUUAGAUCGAGGUGCAGUUUAUAGAUUGGGAAUAAGUGAGCUACAAUAAAAAAACAUUCAUAAAUACAAUUUUGGAUAACUUCCUGAAAACAAAUUAAAAAUAGGAUUCAACAGUAAUGACUUAACAGAAAAUAAGCAUGAAACUACUCUAAGCUCUAAAAUGCG